AAUAGCAUCACCACCACCACGUUCCUCAGAAUCAUCAUCGUCGACGAUCUCUUCUUCCUCCUCUCUUCCCUCCUUUUUCAACGGAUUUACCGUAUUCCAAUCUUAACAAACUCCAACCGACAAAAAAUCAAAACGCAACGGACUAGAACCCAAAAUAGAGAUUCGUACGCCUCCGUCCGGUGAUCCGUCUCCUCUUCCCAGUCACUACCACAAAACCGUACCCGAAUCACAACCCCCGCCGCCGCCGCCGCCAAGGGAAGCGCUAUACAUAGAAAGCGAUAACUCGGAACAGGAUGAUAACCAGAUAGCGAUUGCGUUGACAGCAGAGGAAUGGAGAAUGUCGGAGGAAGUCGGAGGGAAGAAGCAAGGGAUUGCCGCCGGGAGGGAAGGAGAGAUGGACGGAGGGAAAGGAAUUGAGUGACAGGGAAGAAAAAGAAAGGGAAAGGGUAAAAGGAAAGAUGGGGAGAGAGUCUAAUUAUUGGCUAUGGCGAGACAGCACGGCCAAGUAAAGGAGCAAUUUAAGUAAUUAAUUUAAAGAGAUAAUUAAAUUAUUAAUUAAUCGGUGUUUAAACGAGUAAUCGCCGAUAAAUUAGACAGGAGGGGUGUGAGGAUUUGUCAUGGGAAUCACAUGUGGGGUUUGUAAGGGGUUGUUUGUUUGUG
rnacentral:lncRNA from 1 species